CCUACGGGUGGCUGCAGUGGGGAAUAUUGCACAAUGGGCGCAAGCCUGAUGCAGCCAUGCCGCGUGUGUGAAGAAGGCCUUCGGGUUGUAAAGCACUUUCAGCGGGGAGGAAGGCGUUAAGGUUAAUAACCUUGUCGAUUGACGUUACCCGCAGAAGAAGCACCGGCUAACUCCGCGCCAGCAGCCGCGGUAAUACGGAGGGUGCAAGCGUUAAUCGGAAUUACUGGGCGUAAAGCGCACGCAGGCGGUCUGUCAAGUCGGAUGUGAAAUCCCCGGGCUCAACCUGGGAACUGCAUUCGAAACUGGCAGGCUAGAGUCUUGUAGAGGGGGGUAGAAUUCCAGGUGUAGCGGUGAAAUGCGUAGAGAUCUGGAGGAAUACCGGUGGCGAAGGCGGCCCCCUGGACAAAGACUGACGCUCAGGUGCGAAAGCGUGGGGAGCAAACAGGAUUAGAUACCCCUGUAGUC
rnacentral:rRNA from 1 species